rnacentral:rRNA from 1 species
AUUGAACGCUAGCGGGAUGCUUUACACAUGCAAGUCGAACGAGUGGCGGACGGGUGAGUAAUAUAUCGGAACGUGCCCAGUGGCGGGGGAUAACUACUCGAAAGGGUGGCUAAUACCGCAUACUAUUAGAGCUGCCGAUAUGGGAUUCGCUAGUUGGUGGGGUAAAGGCUCACCUAGGCAACGAUCCGUAGCUGGUCUGAGAGGAUGACCAGCCACACUGGAACUGAGACACGGUCCAGACUCCUACGGGAGGCAGCAGUGGGGAAUAUUGGACAAUGGGCGAAAGCCUGAUGCAGCCAUGCCGCGUGUAUGAAGAAGGCCUUCGGGUUGUAAAGUACUUUCAGCGGGGAGGCGUUACUGGCAGAAGAAGCACCGGCUAACUCCGUGCCAGCAGCCGCGGUAAUUC